UGUUUCCAAGGAAAAUUACGCUACUGC
rnacentral:sRNA from 1 species